GUGAAUCAUCAAAUUUUUGAACGCAAAUUGCGCCUUUUUCGGAGGGCACGUCUGUUUGAGGGCACCAUUUAACAAAUAAGGUGCAGCGGUUGUUUUUGCACACGUUGAGGAGCUUUCUAAGAAUUUUAAAUUUUUGGUGGCGCAUAAUGAACAGCGUGAAAGUUUUUUUCAGUUCGGAUGGAGUAAAAGCUUUGCUUGGUUUGUGAAAAAACAUAAUCGCGUAAUGGUUGGGGCUA
rnacentral:misc_RNA from 1 species